rnacentral:sRNA from 1 species
CACUAGUUUGCGUUAGGGAUUGUAGUGAAAAUCCUUUUAGCGAGGCACGAACUAAAAGAUUGCAACGAAAAGCCCGACCCUUG